AAUCAACGCUGGCGGCGUGCCUCAGACAUGCAAGUCGAACGCGAAAGUCCCCUUCGGGGGACAAGUAGAGUGGCGCACGGGUGAGUAACACGUAGGUAAUCUACCUUUGGAUGGGGAAUAACAACCGGAAACGGUUGCUAAUACCGCAUAAUGCAGCGGCACCUAAUGGUGACAGUUGUUAAAGCGGGGAUCGAAAGACCUCGCGUCUGAAGAGGAGCCUGCGGCGGAUUAGCUAGNGGUAAGGUAACGGCUUACCAAGGCGACGAUCCGUAGCCGGCCUGAGAGGGCGGUCGGCCACACUGACACUGACAUACGGGUCAGACUCC
rnacentral:rRNA from 1 species